UGGCGCACGGGUGCGUAACACGUAUGCAACCUACCUAUUAUUGGGGGAUAGCCUUUGGAAACGGAGAUUAAUACCGCAUAAUACGAUUAACUGGCAUCGGUUGAUUGUUAAAGCAUUUGCGAUAAUAGAUGGGCAUGCGUCCAAUUAGUUAGUUGGUGUGGUAAUGGCUCACCAAAACAAUGAUUGGUAGGGGAUCUGAGAGGAUAAUCCCCCACACUGGCACUGAGAUACGGGCCAGACUCCUACGGGAGGCAGCAGUAGGGAAUAUUGGGCAAUGGGCGGAAGCCUGACCCAGCCAUGCCGCGUGCAAGAAGACGGCGUUAUGCGUUGUAAACUGCUUUUUUAUAGGAAGAAGGAUCCCUUGCGAGGGAAGGUGACGGUACUAUAAGAAUAAGCACCGGCUAACUCCGUGCCAGCAGCCGCGGUAAUACGGAGGGUGCAAGCGUUGUCCGGAUUUAUUGGGUUUAAAGGGUGCGUAGGCGGUUUAUUAAGUCAGUGGUGAAAGACGGUCGCUCAA
rnacentral:rRNA from 1 species